UUCGUGUAUUUUGCCGACCUGCUCAUCCCUGUGCUGGGUUUCAGCGGACCUCCCCACGCAGCCUUUGCCUUGAGCUGUGGCCCACGAGCAGUGAAGGAAAAAUAUGAGCACGAAGCCACCCACGAGCCGGAGUACGAGAGCGAGCUGUCCAUCCGGAUAGGUAGAGCUGGGCUCCAUCCAGACAAAGGGGAGAACGGGGAGCCCUACCAGCGG